CACAGGGCAGGAGAACACAAGAACUUCUGGCAUUGAGGCAUGAUGAAGCAAUGUGGGAAAAACACGUUCUUUGUUUGAGUAUGUAAUUUAAUAAAAAGUUUUUUUUCCAGCACAAAUUCGCGACCCAAUGAAAACAGCUCCGUGACAAACUUUUGGGUCCCCACCCAUAUGUUCAGAACCACUGGUCAAGAGAUGUCUCAACAGGUGCUUUAUGGAACAAAGGACCCAUCUAUUGAGGAAGUACGAGGAUAAAACAGAAGACAAACACGAAUGAGGUUCUACUGAGGCUAGAGCCUCCACCACCAGUCUCUGCUACACAAUCACAGGGUGCAGGCAGUAGCAGUAAACACCACAAGCAAUCACUUGCGGCCCUAGCCAAGGAAGUACUGCUCCUGCUUCAACUUGGACUUUCUGGCAGCAUGGUGUAGUACCAGCCUAUACAUCCAGCCACUCACAGUCACUCCAAGCAUCAGCUCUCCCGCAGACGAUUUGUGGAUGUAGCAGUGUGUCCAUUUACAGCCUCUGUAAACAACUUUCUGCUACCACCUUUACAGACGGCUAUAGACUUUGGAAAAAAAGCUGCUGUCAAAUCCCCCUUUUGAAGCCUCAGUGACGCAUGUGCAGUCUGCACACUUCCUCUUCUAACCUGCACACUUACCUUCAAUUUGUGCCAGAGACACCAUCUGUUUGUUUGUGUCAAGCUGGACAUGAGCAGCAGCUGUCGUUGCGAUUCUGCAGUUUAAAGCAGAAGCUGUAGGUGUCUUGCGGAGGCUAAAGUUGAACGUUUUGGCCACAAUUCCCAGGAGAAUCCAGGUUUGUUGCAAGCACAGCCUGAACCUCCAUCUUUAAAUGGCCAAAAUCUCUGGUUGCAGGCAGUAGCAGUCUAUUGCUGGCAGGGGCUGGAGGUGGAUUUCUUGACACUGUUAUCCACAAUCUAUGAGUGGCGGUGGUUUGCUGUACUUUGGAGGCAGGGAAUGGAGGUGUGGAUUCUGGCUAGAGCUGUCAGGCAACAACUUGUAGCCCCUUUCAUUCAAAGGUUGUGGCCCACAGCUUUAGCUAGAGCCUCCACCACCAGUCUCUGCUAAACACCACAAGCAAUCACUUGCUGCCCUAGCCAAGGAAGUACUGCUCCUGCUUCAACUUGGACUUUCUUGGAAAAAUCUGCUAUAUCCCGCAUUUCAAGCUUCACACUUGCCUGUCAUAUUUUCCCCAGUGGAAUCUCCACUUAAAACCUUGCCAGAAAACUGUAGCAACCAUUUUAGUCCACAGAUUGUAGACAACAGCUGCUGCCCUAUCAUCUGUUCAGAGUCCAUCUUAACAACCAGAAGCUUCCAACUCCACCUGUAACUGGCAGGUGCAAUUGCUUUCACCAAACAACGGAUGUUGAUGACAGCUACAACCAAAAACUACACCAAUAUCCUCUUCCAAUUUUCAAUGCAGACUUCUACGAUAAGUUUGGAUUAAAGUUUAAUCCACGCCAGACAACAAGCAAUCUACACACGUCAUUUUCCAACAUGCACACUUACCUGAAAUUAUUUCCUGAGGUAUGUCUAACAUCAUUUCAAAAUAUCAUUUAGUUCAUUUUUUCUUCUGGGUCCUGGCUCAUUCACAGUUAUUAAUAACAACCAGCUCACAAAUAUAAUAUCGACUGUCGUUCCAUGAAGUGGAACACAAAUAUGCAACUGAGGCAGAUUCUGCAUUGACUAAGAUUGGUUAGUCUAAACAAUCAGAGAUCAGACCCUUGUGCUUUAAACAUCCUUCCUGGAAUGUGUUUUCCUCCACACUUUGCACAUUACUUUUUCAAAUUAGUAAUACAAAUCAACUUGUUCUUUGCGGUUUACUUUAUCUAUCUAUCUGUCUAUCUAUCUAACUAUCUAUCUAUCUACCAACAGGAAGAGUCAAGAUCAAACGGUACCUACCUUCAGUGGAUUCAAAAUAUCUGCAAGGUGGGCUGUUACAUUUUCCAGGUAAAAAUAUCCGGAAUAUAGUGUCCGUUCUCACGGGUAGCUCUCUAUCAGAGCUCAAGUGAAACUUUUACUUAAACAGGAUCUCAACAUAUUUGUAUUAUAUGUUAAAUGUGGAAUGUGUUUUUAAGAAAUAUAAAGCCAACCAGCAAAACAAUGUAAACAAGGUCCAAUGGGUUGUUGACAUGACAUGGCCUUUUCAUUAUCACGAGAUAACAAUUCAUAUAAAUAGAGCUUUUAUUUUUUAAAAUGCAAUAAAUGGUUGAACAUUACCUUGUUACGUGAAGAUGCUGUUAUUAAAGCUGCUGUGUUUUUAGAUUUUUUUAUGCUUUUGAGCCAAACUUCAAAAUUGUCCUCUGGUGUGACUGUCACCAUCAUGCUUCCAUAUUUACAACUUAUAUAAUUUAAAUAAAAAGGAUACAUCUUUAGAUAAAUACCCUUGGCAUGAUUCUACAAUUGUCUAGUAGUUGGUAAUUAUGUUUUUUUCCAUUUAUUUUUGUAACUGUAAGACAUCAAAAUCCAUGUCCACUAGUGUUACAGCACAUCCUGAUUUUAAAUCAGGAAAUUCUACUCUUAAUUUAUUGA